AGUGAACGCUGGCGGUAGGCCUAACACAUGCAAGUCGAACGGCAGCACAGUAAGAGCUUGCUCUUACGGGUGGCGAGUGGCGGACGGGUGAGGAAUACAUCGGAAUCUACUUUUUCGUGGGGGAUAACGUAGGGAAACUUACGCUAAUACCACAUACGACCUACGGGUGAAAGCAGGGGAUCUUCGGACCUUGCGCGAUUGAAUGAGCCGAUGUCGGAUUAGCUAGUUGGCGGGGUAAAGGCCCACCAAGGCGACGAUCCGUAGCUGGUCUGAGAGGAUGAUCAGCCACACUGGAACUGAGACACGGUCCAGACUCCUACGGGAGGCAGCAGUGGGGAAUAUUGGACAAUGGGCGCAAGCCUGAUCCAGCAAUACCGCGUGGGUGAAGAAGGCCUUCGGGUUGUAAAGCCCUUUUGUUGGGAAAGAAAAGCAGCAGGUUAAUACCCCGCUGUUCUGACGGUACCCAAAGAAUAAGCACCGGCUAACUUCGUG
rnacentral:rRNA from 1 species